rnacentral:lncRNA from 8 species
GGGCCUAAAUGUAUUUCUGUGACAGAAAUGUAACACAAACAAUACCAUACAUAAUUACUAACAUCAUUUCUAUAUUGUCUUGUCCUUCUAAGGUCCUGUGGAAAAAUAUAAAAAUCAACUUAAAGAAGACAUGCUGUUGCUCUUAGGGAGCGUUUCAAGACUGGUAAGACCAGCGACCGAUGAGUUGAGCUAUUUGCUGACCGGGAUCAUUGAUAGCCAACAACCCCUGGAAGGUAUCCCCGAUGAUGACCAUUUGGACCGUUAAGAUGGGGGACCAUUCCAAUCCUCAUUUGGUCGGACACAUUCAUUCAGCAUGUGCCAUCCCUGGACUGCAGGGAAUAUAGGCAGAUUACCGUAGCUUGGAGGGGACUUGUCUUACGGGAUGGUCAGCUCGCUACAUCUGCAGCAGCCAGGAGGGAAGAUUGUGUCACUAAUCUGGGCCGGAGGACAAAGACAAAGAGGCUGUGCAUGCAUGAGAAACUGCCCAUGGAAUUUCAUGAGCUCAAACUAAUGUAUUUAAAAGAGCAUGAUAUGAAGAUACAAAUCCUUCAUGUUGAGUUGGCUAUGAAGAAGGAGGAAAGAAACAUGAAGCAGCAGCAGUUGGGGGUCCCGACAUUUCCAUUUGUGAAUUAAAAACCUUUUUGUUACCAAUACAUGGGUGUUGUUCACUUCAAUCACGAGCUAUCUUUGUUGUGAGAAGUGCUGCAUAGCAAAAUCAUCUCUGCAGGCUUGUCCAUUGUCUGCCUCAACUCAAGCCAAUUCCUCCUUUGGCCGUCUCUCUUUCCAGUUCUCUGCUGCCAAUGACUGGAACGAACUACAAAAAUCUCUGAAACUGGAAACACUUAUCUCCCUCACUAGCUUUAAGCACCAGCUGUCAGAGCAACUCACAGAUCACUGCACCUGUACAUAGCCCAUCUAUAAUUUAGCCCAAACAACUACCUCUUCCCCUACUGUAUUUAUUUAUUUUUGCUCCUUUGCACCCCAUUAUCUCUGUUUCUACUUUGCACUUUCUUCGACUACAAAUCUACCAUUCCAGUGUUUUACUUGCUAUAUUGUAUUUACUUUGCCACCAUGGACUUUUUUUGCCUUUACCUCCCUUAUCUCACCUCAUUUGCUCACAUUGUACAUAGACUUAUUUUUCUACUGUAUUAUUGACUGUAUAUUUGUUUUACUCCAUGUGUAACUCUGUGUUGUUGUAUGUUGUCGAACUGCUUUGCUUUAUCUUGGCCAGGUCGCAAUUGUAAAUGAGAACUUGUUCUCAACUUGCCUACCUGGUUAAAUAAAGGUGAAAUAAAGAAAUAAAUAAAUAAAAACUAUUGGAACAUCUGGGUCAUCCUCA